GUGCAGCAGUCGAGAAACUUCACACUGUGCGAAAGCACGAUGAGGGAAUCCCAAGUGCUUGCACGUAAGUGUAAGCUGUUUCUCUGUUUAAAACGCAGAGAGAGUAAGGGCUGGGUAAGACGGGUGCCAGCCGCCGCGGUAAUACCUGCAGCUCAAGUGGUGACCGUUAUUAUUGGGCCUAAAACGUCCGUAGCCGGUUUAAUAAAUGCCUGGGUAAAUCGUGUAGCUUAACUAUACGAAUUCCGGGUAGACUGUUAAACUCGAGACCGGGAGAAGUUAGAGGUACUCCUGGGGUAGAGGUGAAAUUCUGUAAUCCUAGGGGACCACCAGUGGCGAAGGCGUCUAACUAGAACGGGUCUGACGGUGAGGGACGAAGCCCUGGGGCGCAAACGGGAUUAGAUACCCCCGUAGU
rnacentral:rRNA from 1 species